GAGAACUUUUUAAUCAACGUUUUUAUCGCGCUAGAAGAAACGUGUGUCCCAAUCAAGCUGCGAUCUCCCUUGGCGGAGGUCAAAAUGUAAACGGGACUCUCUUCGGGUCCGCUGUCCUCUUGUUGCGAUUGCGUCUGAUGAUCGCUACCCGCCAGGCUGCCAUAUUGAGGUGCAUCUUCGCUUCGUCCCGAUGCCGAAGACGAGCUCGAGGAUAAUGGCUUCUUCGUAGACGUACCGAUCGGCAGUUGGCCCUCGGCACCAUAACCGGCCACCACGCUCGCCGUCCUACGGGACAGCGAAGCUGAUUUUUUUCUGCCAUUCGCUCGUUUCCUAUACCUACGAACGUAACUUCGAACUUUUAACAAUCAACAAUCGUAUGAAACGAUCGGAUUAUUAGCCUGACUUAUACAACACACAUAAAGCGUCUUUCUUUUUUUUCCAAACGACACCACACCAUUACGAUGAUUACCAUGAAAAAAAAAAUAAAAUAAAAUAAAUAAAUAAAGAUCA